rnacentral:rRNA from 1 species
CCUACGGGGGGCAGCAGUGGGGAAUAUUGCACAAUGGGGGAAACCCUGAUGCAGCGACGCCGCGUGAGGGAAGAAGGAUUUCGGUAUGUAAAGCCCUAUCAGCAGGGAAGAUAAUGACGGUACCUGACGAAGAAGCACCGGCUAACUCCGUGCCAGCAGCCGCGGUAAUACGUAGGGGGCAAGCGUUAUCCGGAUUUACUGGGUGUAACGGGAGCGUAGGCGGGAGGGCAAGUCAGAUGUGAAAACCUAGGGCUUAACCAUGGGAGUGCAUUUGAAACUGUCCAGCUGGAGUACGGGAGAGGUAGGUGGAAUUUCUGGUGUAGCGGUAAAAGGCAUAGAGAUUAAGAGGAAUACCAGUUGCGAAGGCGACUUACUAGACUGUAACUGACACUGAGGCUCGAAAGCGUGGGGAGCAAACAGGAUUAGAUACCCUAGUAGUC